GGCCUACCAUGGUGGUAACGGGUAACGGGGUGUUAGGGCACGACACCGGAGAGGGAGCCUGAGAAACGGCUACCACAUCCAAGGAUGGCAGCAGGCGCGCAAAUUACCCAAUCCCGACACGGGGAGGUAGUGACAAUAAAUAACAAUACGGGGUUCUUUAGGAUCUCGUAAUUGGAAUGAGUACAAUUUAAAUCUCUUAACGAGGAACAAUUGGAGGGCAAGUCUGGUGCCAGCAGCCGCGGUAAUUCCAGCUCCAAUAGCGUAUAUUAAAGUUGUUGCAGUUAAAAAGCUCGUAGUUGAAUUUCGGGGUUAGUAGGUUGGUCAUGCCUCUGGUAUGUACUGGUCUCACUGAUUCCUCCUUCCUGAUGAACCGUAAUGCCAUUAAUUUGGUGUUGCGGGGAAUUUGGACUGUUACUUUGAAAAAAUUAGAGUGUUUAAAGCAAGCUAACGCUUGAAUACAUUAGCAUGGAAUAAUGAAAUAGGACGUUCGAUCCUAUUUUGUUGGUUUCUAGGAUUGACGUAAUGAUUAAUAGGGAUAGUUGGGGGCAUUAGUAUUCAAUUGUCAGAGGUGAAAUUCUUGGAUUUAUUGAAGACUAACUACUGCGAAAGCAUUUGCCAAGGAUGUUUUCAUUAAUCAAGAACGAAAGUUAGGGGAUCGAAGACGAUCAGAUACCGUCGUAGUCUUAACCAUAAACUAUGCCGACUAGGGAUCGGAUGAUGUUAAUUUUUUAAUGACUCAUUCGGCGCUUACG
rnacentral:rRNA from 1 species